UUCACUUUUCAGCGACUAAUAAGCCAAUCCAAACGGGCUCUAGAUCAUCCUUAAUAUUCAUCAUCAGGUUUCACAGCAUUCUAGCUUUAUCUGUUACUGUGUCUUCUCUCUGUGUAACGCUUUUCUGGAAGUUCAGGUCCUUUAUCACUCUGUUAUGACUCUAUGAGUGCUCAACACCCAUGCCGAUGCUUACUGAGGUUAUGUCAAACAACGAUGAAACUGAUUUUCUUUCUUCUAAAUGAAGAGCACUGAUCAUCGAGCAUUAUAUAUAUAUAGAAUGUUCAUCUUGUAUAUAUUGAAGUUGCGUGCUAUGAAUGCUGGUCUACCAAUUCUGACAACUGACUUUGACUGUGAAUGGUUGCGGGGCGGGGGCAAGCCUUCAAGACCCCACUGAAAGAUGUUAGUACUACUAGCAGGCUUCCUAGCUCGAGUGGAUGCCGCAUGGCGAGAGUUUAGUUGCGCAAUAAGCGCUGGCCUGGUCGCUUGAAAGAAAUAAGAUGUGUACUCCACUUGACGCUGCUAACGUCGUUUUUUUUUAGCCGGUUCUGUGGCCUAGCAAGUUGACAGUACCCAUUAGAGUUAUUAGAGGAUCGUGUGCCACUCUUGCCAUGAGGACAAACAUCAAACACACGUGCAAAGGCGCCAUGAGAAUGGAGAUAUUUUAAAGGCCAUAUAUGUUUCACAAUGAUGCAGUAUCAUAGCUCGAUUUGCACUAUAUCAUUGACUUGCGAUGAUUUCAUACUUGUGCUGUUGAGAGGUUGUUUCUAAAUUGUAGAACAGGGAUACAGUUUGUAAUAACUCAGUCCGCCCUUUUGUAACAUUUGAACAGGCGCAAGUAUUUACCAGUAUAGAAAACUAAACAUGCCAUGUAAUAAUUUUGUCUAACGUUGAAGCCGUGUUCUUAGCUGA